GUCCAGACUCCUACGGGAGGCAGCAGUGGGGGAUAUUGCACAAUGGGGGAAACCCUGAUGCAGCGACGCCGCGUGAGCGAUGAAGUAUUUCGGUAUGUAAAGCUCUAUCAGCAGGGAAGAAAAUGACGGUACCUGAUUAAGAAGCCCCGGCUAACUACGUGCCAGCAGCCGCGGUAAUACGUAGGGGGCAAGCGUUAUCCGGAUUUACUGGGUGUAAAGGGAGCGUAGACGGCAUGGCAAGCCAGAUGUGAAAUGCCGGGGCUCAACCCCGGGACUGCAUUUGGAACUGUUAAGCUGGAGUGUCGGAGAGGCAGGCGGAAUUCCUAGUGUAGCGGUGAAAUGCGUAGAUAUUAGGAGGAACACCAGUGGCGAAGGCGGCCUACUGGACGAUAACUGACGUUGAGGCUCGAAAGCGUGGGGAGCAAACAGGAUUAGAUACCCUCGUAAA
rnacentral:rRNA from 1 species